UUAAACUGAAGAGUUUGAUCAUGGCUCAGAUUGAACGCUGGCGGCAGGCUUAACACAUGCAAGUCGAGCGGAAACGAUGGUAGCUUGCUACCAGGCGUCGAGCGGCGGACGGGUGAGUAAUGCUUAGGAAUCUGCCCAGUAGUGGGGGAUAGCCCGGGGAAACUCGGAUUAAUACCGCAUA
rnacentral:rRNA from 1 species